UACAGGGGUCCCAAGCGUUGUUCGGAUUCACUGGGCGUAAAGGGUGCGUAGGCGGUCGGGUAAGUCUGAUGUGAAAUCUCACAGCUUAACUGUGAAACUGCAUUGGAUACUAUUCGGCUUGAGAGUUGGAGGGGGGACUGGAAUUCUUGGUGUAGCAGUGAAAUGCGUAGAUAUCAAGAGGAACACCAGUGGCGAAGGCGAGUCCCUGGACAACUUCUGACGCUGAGGCACGAAAGCUAGGGGAGCAAACAGG
rnacentral:rRNA from 1 species